AAGCCGAAACAGGGCAGGUUAUUAAAGAGCUCGACCGAAGGCAUAGUGUACGAAGCGAAAGGGAAUGGAUUCAUCAUUGUCCGGUAACAACGGCGUUUCUUUUCUUUCUUAUUCGUAACUGCGAGCUUUGCACCCUUCGAUGAUGAGGAGAGUGGUGAAGGCUUGUUUCGUAUUCAGCGACAUUGUUCGUACGUACUUGGGAAACUUCACUUCUCUUUCGUACGCUCCUCUCGCUUCACUCGAGCUUCAGCAAGGGGAGGUUCUGAAAGAGUCACCUUUGCGCCCUCCUUUUCCUUCUUUUUCUUCAACCUCUCCUUCCUUCUUUCUCAUUCCGGCAUGAGAUUCAUCUUCUUCUCCCCACUGCUGACCCAUAUCCGAUUUCUUUCCUCUCUUCCGACGCCGUCGACAAGGGAUGGAUAUUCAAUCCAGAGUAGGAGGGGGUGGACUGGACUUCGACGAGGGGGGAUGACAAGCACUGGUCACGGGGAGACAAUCUCACUUCUAAUCUCAUGAUGAAGCAGAAGAGGGAAAACUCUUCGUAGCAGAUGAUCAACCCAUAAAAGAGGGAUUUGGUUCCUGCACUACUAUGCCCCAUGAUGGCUUCACGGUUUCAAUUGGGGCUUAUGAUCAUGGAGAGGUCCGAUGGACAUAGUCUACUCUACGGGACUCCACUUUUCUACCCAGAAAAAAAAAAUCAUUUCACUGGUCCUGGAGCCCAUGAAAGUAAUGCUUUAUGAAAGCCAACUGUUUCAACAUCCAA
rnacentral:lncRNA from 1 species